rnacentral:rRNA from 1 species
UACGGGGGGAGCAAGCGUUUGUUCGGAUUUACUGGGCGUAAAGGGCGCGUAGGCGGGCUGCCAAGUUUGGGGGUGAAAUCCUCCGGCUCAACCGGAGAAGUGCCUCGAAUACUGGCGGUCUCGAGGGAGGUAGGGGCGUGCGGAACUGUAGGUGGAGCGGUGAAAUGCGUUGAUAUCUACAGGAACUCCGGUGGCGAAGGCGGCACGCUGGACCUUUUCUGACGCUGAGGCGCGAAAGCCAGGGGAGCGAACGGG